AUUGAACGCUGGCGGCAGGCUUAACACAUGCAAGUCGAGCGGAGAUGAGGUGCUUGCACCUUAUCUUAGCGGCGGACGGGUGAGUAAUGCUUAGGAAUCUGCCUAUUAGUGGGGGACAACAUUCCGAAAGGAAUGCUAAUACCGCAUACGUCCUACGGGAGAAAGCAGGGGAUCUUCGGACCUUGCGCUAAUAGAUGAGCAUAAGUCGGAUUAGCUAGUUGGUGGGGUAAAGGCCUACCAAGGCGACGAUCUGUAGCGGGUCUGAGAGGAUGAUCUGCCACACUGGGACUGAGACACGGCCCAGACUCCUACGGGAGGCAGCAGUGGGGAAUAUUGGACAAUGGGGGGAACCCUGAUCCAGCCAUGCCGCGUGUGUGAGGAAGGCCUUAUGGUUGUAAAGCACUUUAAGCGAGGAGGAGGCUACUGAGACUAAUACUCUUGGAUAGUGGACGUUACUCGCAGAAUAAGCACCGGCUAACUCUGUGCCAGCAGCCGCCGUAACAC
rnacentral:rRNA from 1 species